UGUUCCAUUUCCUGUGAUUUACUUUGUUGAUGGCCACUCAUCGCAUACGGGAUAUGAGGUAGCAGAGCUUUGUGCCAGCCUUGGUAUUAUCCUUAUCGCGCUUUAUCCUAAUGCCACGCAUAUAAUGCAACCAGCGGAUGUUGCUAUCUUCAAACCGUUAAAAACAGCUGGAGCCGUUGCGUCGAAGAUUGGAACUGGCGGAAUAAGGAUAAGCUAUUUACCAUAGACGAGUUUCCAGGAGUACUGAAAGCAGCGAUUAAUGAAUGUAUUUCACCGUCCACCGUACGAUCUGGAUUUCGUAAGAGCGGACUGUAUCCAUUGGCAGAGGAAGCUCUCAGUUAAUAACUGUGGAAGUGCUCAUAGAACACUAAGCUGAGAAGCAGGCUUUGUCCCAGUGAGGACGUUACGCCAAGAAGAAGAAGAAGAAGAACGAAAAGCAAAGACAAUUAAUGUUAAAUUCACUUCAAACGGCACUACUUAACAAAUUUACAAUACUACAAAACACUACACACCUUAACAAAACUUAAAACUGGCAGAAGGUCGCCGAAGCUCGCUUCUGUUCUCCAGCCGACUCAACUAUAAAGUGAUGGAGUCAGUUGAAACCUCUAGUCAAGUAAAUUUCCUGCUAUUGAAGCAGUCGUCUAUUUAAUCUACAAACUAUUAUAUACAAGUGCGCCAAAUUCAAUCGCACAUAGCCGCAAAACUAUUUUACGCCAUCGAAAAAAGUCCUAUUAGAUACACAACAUGAAUCGUCAUUAACUUAGCCUAGACACAAACCUUACAUGAAACGGAUAAUCUCUACUAAAUGAAACGGUUCUAACUCAAAGACAAAUUCAACGAAUCCAAUUUUACUUAAAAAAGAUAAAAACGUCAAAAGCUACAAAUAAACUAAAAUAGUAAUAAUUUAAAGAAACGAACUUUGAAUUAGAAAUCUUAAAUAUUGAAAAAAAAACAUAUUUAUCCAAGUUUAUCGAACUGUAUUCAUGUUUUAUUUUACUUAAAAAGAUGAAAAUCGUCAAAACGUUACAGUGUUACCGCACCUAGCUACAAAGCAGCAAAUGAAAUUGCUCAACACGAAGCGUUUACUGUUGCAUACGUGGUCUAUGUGCCAGCACGAGAAGUGGAGGUGGAGGGGAAGAUCCUCGACGAAAUGCUGACAUGUGAGGACAUCAAGACCGGCUUUGGUCGAUUCAAAAAUAGGUCAAUUCCUGAUGUGGCUAUCCUAGACUGUAAACGCUUAUCUAAGGCUUCCAUGGAAGGAAAUAAAAAGGUGUACUCGCCUUCAGCGUUUUUUCGAGUGACUUUCCCAGGUUCCGUCCUCCCAGAAUUUGUUGUAAUCGAUGGUGGUUUUUACCCAGUGCAUCUUUUUAGGCUUUAGGUUUUUAAUUGUACCAAAUGCAAGCAGUUUGGUCACAGUGAUAGCUUUUGCGACAACAAGCCCCGUUGUGGUAAAUGCAACCAAGCUCAUUUGGAGGACUCUUGCACACAGGAAGCGGAAAACUGUAGCUACCGUGGCGGAGAUCCACACGACUUGCAAGUUUGCCCGGCUUACAAAAGACGCAUUCGAAAUGAGAGUCGCCCUAUUGUAAGGCGCUCCAAGCAGACCUAUGUGGAGAUGGUGAAAUCUUUUAAAACACCAGAUUCCGUGUCUGAAUCAGCUGUCCCAGUUGAAAAUCCCUAUCAGGAGUUGUCUUCCGAUGAUCAGGACGAUGGCGAAACUGAUGAGGGUGGAUCUCUUUCGAAGGUACACGCACCUGGAAAAAGGAAGUCACCAUCUUCCCCGGGAUUGCGCCGAAAGGUCUUUUUGAAGUCUUCCCUCAAAAGUUUGCCUAAUGUCAAAGGAGACGGGGUUAACUUAAAAACUCCGAAGAAUCAGGUUCCUUUAGCUUCAGAUCCAUGUUGUAGCAAGAACCUGUCACCCCCGUCUCCGCCUGUUAAAUACACUUCAAAGAGAAAUAAUCGACAAGGUAGCAAGAAAAAAGCUACCAAAGUUCCUCGCAGUUCAAGCAAGCCUCCUAGACCCAAGCGAGGACUGUUUACUUUAAGGGUUCUCGUGGAUCGCUUAUAUGAUGCCCUCAGCCUUCCAGAAACAUUUAGAGGCAUUAUUGAUAUGUUUAUACCUACAGUAGAAGAAUAUCUUCGGAAUCUGACACAAUCAUGGCCCCUCCUUGCUGCGAUCAUAUCUUUCGAUGGAUAAUUCAUCAAGUGAGGUACAAGAUAUGAUCACUGUGCUACAGUGGAACUGUCAUAGUCUAAAACCUAAAUUAGACCUGUUUAAGUUUUUGAUUCACAACUCUGAUUGUGAUAUAUUUGCCCUUUGUGAAACAUGGCUUUCUUCUGAAGAUGAACUCAACUUCCACGAUUUUAACAUUAUACGCCAGAAUAGAGAUGAUCAUUAUGGGGGAGUUCUUUUGGGGAUCAUAAAGACUUACUCAUUUUAUAGAACUCCAAUCGCGACUCAUCCUGGCGUAGAAAUCGUCGCUUGCCAAAUAAACGUAAAGGGUAAAGAACUUUGCGUACCUUCCGUUAACAUUCCUCCAAGAAUUUCAAUUAACCGCCGUCAUCUUUGGAAUGCAGUUUCUGCACUAUCCCAUCCAGUUUUAAUUCUGGGUGAUAUGAACGCACAUGGUACAGGGUGGGGCGAACCAUAUGACGAUAACAGAGCGGCCAUUUUCUAUGAUUUGUGCGACGAUUUCAAUUUGAACAUUUUAAAUACAGGUGAAGUGACACGUAUUGCAUCUGACGGCAAAGAAAGUCGUCUCGACCUAUCACUGGGGUCAAGUUCACUAUCAUUCAAUUGCUUGUGGAAGGUAAUCGAGGAUCCUCAUGGUAGUGAUCACUUAUCCAUUAUAACCACCGUCAAACAUAGUGAAAGGUCAGACCAUCCAAUUCAGGUUCCUUUUGACCUCACAAGGAAUAUCGAUUGGCAAAAGUAUGCAGAAGCGGUAUCUUUUGGCAUCGAAUCAUUCAAUCCCCUCCCACCUUUGGAUGAGUAUCGAUUCCUGUCUGAACUGAUAUAUAAGAGUGCAUUAGAAUCACAAAAACGACGUGUUCCAAGUGCAACCUUCAAAAGAAGACCAGCCACACUAGGCUGGGAUGAUGAUUGCACCCAGUUGUAUCUUAAAAAAUCUGAUGCUUUCAAAACUUUUCGUAGGCACGGUACCUCAGAUCUUUAUCAAGAGUACGCAAAGCUCGAAAGACAGCUGAGAAACCUGCUGAAAGCGAAGAAGCGUAGUUAUUGGCGACACUUCAUUGAGGGUCUCUCAAGAGAAACUUCAGUGACAACGCUUUGGAGAGUGGCUCGCAACAUGCGAAACCGCUCUUCUUCUAAUGAGAGUGACGAAUAAUCCAACCGUUGGAUAUUCAGCUUCGCGAAAAAGGUCUGCCCAGACUCAGUCCCAGCACAACCGAUUUCUUGGGAAACAUCCCCAAGAGACGGUUCUCUGGACAGACCCUUCACUAUGCUGGAACUUUCUAUGGCUCUUCUUUCAUCAAACAAUUCCGCUCCGGGACGCGAUAUGAUCAAGUUCAAUCUUCUUAAGAAUCUCCCAGAUAUUGCGAAAAGACGACUACUGGAUCUGUGCAACUCAUUCAUGGAGAACAACAUUGUUCCGCUAGAAUGGAGACAGGUCAAAGUAAUAGUUAUUCAAAAGCCUGGUAAACCAGCGUCUGAUCAUAAUUCAUACCGCUCAAUUGCUAUGUUAUCAUGUUUAAGGAAAUUGUUGUAAAAAAUGAUCCUAUCGCGACUCGACCAUUGGGUUGAAUCGAAUAGCUUGCUUUCAAAUACACAGUUCGGGUUUCGCAAGGGCAAAGGAACAAACGAUUGUCUAGCGUUGCUUUCAACAGAUAUUCAACUGGCCUUUGCGGAAAAGGAGCAACUGGCUUCAGUCUUCUUGGAUAUUAAGGGCGCCUUUGAUUCAGUUUCCAUAGGAAUAUUGUCAGAAAAACUGCACAAUAGUGAGCUUCAAUCUCGGACAACUGACAACUUCCAGAAUUAGCUACAUGGGUCUACUCCAAGGCUCAUGUCUAAGUCCCUUGCUUUAUAAUUUUUACCUGAAAGACAUUGAUAGUUGCUUGGAAGGUGUUACUAGAACUAGUAACAAUAUGUUGCUUCCGGAAAUUUAACACUCGUUUUAUUGGUUUUUGAGAGAGAGUUAUAAUUUCCCUAAAAAAUUCAAUAGUAUUAGAUGGAUACAUAGUAGAUUUUUUGAGGUUAUCUUACGUUUAGUAUUUUCCAUAGUAGGUUUAAAUUCAGCCUGUCGAAUUCAAUUGAACACCCUCUACACAAUCUAGGAUAAUAAGUAGAAUUUAGUAACUUGUAACUAGAUGGUCAUAACUAUUUUACCUCAAUCAAUGCAAUUUUAGUUUUUUUUAAAGAAUAAUCGCGCUAGCUAUCACCGAACUAAUAAUUUUGUAAAACCUACAAAAAAUAAGUUGAAUUCAACUUUUUUUAUAAUUCACAUAUUGAAAUCUCACUUUAGAUAGGAAAAUAAAUUCAAUUAUUAAGCAAAAAUAGGGUAAUUUGCCAAUUAUUGCACACCACCCAAUUGUUGCACACCGUGUAUAUUUAUACCAAUUAAGGAAUACACGGGAAAUACCGAACGUAGAAUAAUGUUUUAAUGCAAUUUUCGAUCAUUUAUGUAGUAGUUCCAACACUUUAUUUUUUAAUAAAAUCAUAUUAAAAGGUUCUUUAAUGCGAUUUUAAUAAGUUGAUGUACAAAGGCUAAAAAACACCAGCCUGCUUAGCUGAAAUGUUUAAAAUUUCACAUUUCAAAAUAAGCUUUUAUUCGACAUUGUAGUUGUUUUAGCCGUAUUAGUGAUUUGCAGUACAACAAAUGCAUUUACUUUCAGUUAUUUUUCAAUCAUAAUAUGAUUAUGUUACAACCUGGAGUUCUGGGUGGCCGAGACACAUGAUAGUGUAAUGAUAACUCCAGGUGUAAACGAAACACAUUAAAAACGUAACUUUAUUUACAUAAAAGAUUACAUGACUAUGACGCGACACGUAUACACAAUGACGGUUACAGAACUUCUAAAACUAAUGUCUGCUUUUGUGCAUCAACCGAUCGCAUAUUGAAAUGCUAUCGGCGAGCAAGCAGAGCGGCGAGAGUUGAGAGAUUGUUCAGUGGUUCUCAACAUCUCCCCCGCUGAAUCGUUGACGGUGUUUCCAUAGCAGCGGUCUUCGGACGUGGGAAGAUCAAUGAUGGUGGACAGUGUAGAUAGCGUGGUCGAUGAUCAUGUUGACGAGAGUUGCUGUUCGAUCAUCGGAGCUCCUGGUUCCACCAUGGUUGACUAUCCACUCGAAGAUAUCGCUGUAUACCGAUGCACGUCCACUUGUUGAAUCCAUCCGAUGUCCAUUCCGAUCAAGAAAAUGUUGGACAAAUUUCAGAUCUGACUGAUGAAACAAAUUAACGAUGGACUCAACAACGCUUUUGGUGCUGACUGCUUGAUGUUGAUUGAAUUUAAUUAGCACCUCCCGAAGUGAUCUGAUCUCGCAUGAAUUGAACACCUCUGCUGCCUGCGUGCUCUGCAAAGCGUAUUCAAAUCCAAUUUCACUGCUACCGCCGGGUGUAGGUACGGCAACGGCAAGAGGAAAUAUCGGUCCUCUUUUGUGCUGCUGCUGUUGAUCACACUGAGUCGUCGUCCGCGUCGUCGGCGUGGGAACACACAGCUGGUCCAUUGAAGACUGUUGCUGAUGCUGUUCGUUUAUUGCCGCCGUAGUAUCGACGACAUUUGGAUGCGGUUGGGAAUUGUGUGGUUGUUGCCGGGUACUCCAAUACAGCGAGAACAGAUGGAAUUGCUGAUUUAUUGAUUCCAUAGUAUGUUGAUACUGAAGCUGCAGCAGUUGUUGCAUACUUUCGAAGAACCUUUCACUGGCUUCUCGCAUCUGCUGGAGGGACUGUUCCGACUGCUUCUGACCGGGUGGAAACUGGACGGUCGAAAGUGGCAGUGGUGUUUGUUGUACCACUGUUGGCUGCGCAUGACACAAUGGCGUACUGCUGAAUGGCCCAUUGAAUCCAGCCGCCAGUUGAUAGUUAUGGUGGUGCUGAUGAGGUUGAAUGUUCGCGGGUUGACUUGACGAAAAAGACGGGAUUGAUGAUGAUGCGUGUUGGUUCUUGUGUGCUGAUUCAAGAACCGGCGGAUGUAGUCGCUGACUCACUUGAUGCUGAUGCGGAUCUUAACCAGCCAAUGAUGCUGGAUGCUGGAGCUGAACUUGAUCACUCCUCACGAAGUUCAUUGUGCCGUCCAUCUUCUCCUCCGCGGUAAAACAAACGCGUCGCGAUUCCUCACUGCACGCACGGGUUUCUCGUCGCCACUGUUACAACCUGGAGUUCUGGGUGGCCGAGACACAUGAUAGUGUAAUGAUAACUCCAGGUGUAAACGAAACAAAUUAAAAACGUAACUUUAUUUACAUAAAAGAUUACAUGACUAUGACGCGACACGUAUACACAAUGAAGGUUACAGAACUUCUAAAACUAAUGUCUGCUUUUGUGCAUCAACCGAUCGCAUAUUGAAAUGCUAUCGGCGAGCAAGCAGAGCGGCGAGAGUUGAGAGAUUGUUCAGUGGUUCUCAACAGAUUAUUUUGCAAAUAAUAGUUAUUUUAAUCCCCCGUACAAUAAUUGGCUCAAAAAAAAAAUCGUCGUUCCUAUUUUAUUGCACAAACCAUAACCACACUUUUUUUACCGUGCGUAGUAGUCUGACAGCUCCGCCGGCGGAGUGUUUGUUUAUCAUUCGUCAGAGAAAACUUUGCUUGGGAAGCUGCCUUGGAAUUUGCCUUCCAGAUAACACGGAUUUUUACUGGAUUUCGACCUGCAUAAUGGAUACACAGGUAACGUGAAUGUUGCUUAUACCUAUUUGAAUACCAAACAUCACAUAACUUCAAUUUUAGAACUAUACUUUGCCGGCUCCCGAUCCUGAACAUUCUGCCCCGCCGCCCGCCGUCGAGAAUCCGUAAAAAAUAUACGGAAGGCGCCUUGCAACAAAGCAUAGCUGCGGUAAAAACGAAGGCAAUGACACUAGGGCAGGCUUCCAGCUGCUUCAGAGUACCGAAAUCAACAAUUAAGUUUCGUAUUGGUUCGAAGUGGACGAAAAAACUUCGGAGGGGUCCACAGACUGUGCUUACCCUGCAGGAGGAAAUUAAAUUGGUAAAAAGAAUCCAAGAAAUGGAACGCCGUGGUUUUCCUUGCACGAAGCAUGCUGUCGUGUUCCGAGUAAAAGCUUUUCUCGACGAUAAUCCCCGCAAAACACCGUUCAAGAAUAACAAACCAGGAUACAAGUGGCUGCAACUGUUCCUUGGCCGACACAAUCAGCUCUGUAUUCGAAAACCGGAAAACGUCACUAUGGCAAGUGCAACUGUUUCUGAACCGGACAUACGUUCUUGGUUUCAAAAGAUCAUGCAGUAUCUGCGCGCAAACGGAUUGGAGGAUGUUCUAACAGAUCCGCGGCGUAUUCUUAACGGUGACGAAACCGGUUUUCCGUUCGAUCCCGUCACAAAAGCUGUUCUCGCAUCAAAGGGAAACCGUAACGUCUACUUGGUUCAGCAGGCUGAUCCCAAGAAGAAUGUAACAGUGCUGUUUACAUUUGAUGCUGACGGAUACAUGUUCCCGCCGGAUACUAUUUUGCCAUACAAGCGAUUGCCCAAGCAGCUCAUAAUGAAUUUUGAUUCUGACUGGGGAAUUGGAAAGUCCGACAAAGGGUGGAUGGACAGCGAAAAUUUCGUUGCCUAGGUUAAUUUGCCAAAUAUUGCACACCACCCAAUUGUUGCACACCGUGUAUAUUUAUGCCAAUUAAGGAAUACACGGGAAAUACCGAACGUAGAAUAA